rnacentral:lncRNA from 1 species
ACCAUGGGAGAGAAUUUGAACGCUCUUGGCAGUUGGGAUUCAGACCUUGACAGUUGUAACUGAUAGACAGGGCUGGGGCAAUGCUGAUGAAAGGCAAAUUCCUGAGAGAAAAAUCACCCAAACUUUCUAGAAGUUGUUAUGAGUGGACCUGACUACCUAGAGAGAGUAAUACAGAAGCUCCAUGCCGAUCACAGCUACCUCAUUACCAAGUUCCUCCAAGAUGGCCGCCCCUGAGGAGAAUCAUCAACUGGGCUUUACGGAAGAGAGAAAUCCAAACGACCAUCAGCAACAAAUGAAAGACUGAAGUUGAAAGUUUCAAGAUUGUCAAGAAUGACAAGUUGGACUUGGUCUAGUUACUUCCACAGCAGCAGGAGGAACAUGUGUGUGACUCAGGAUAACUGGGGAAGCCUUGGCUAGGCUUUCCUCAUGUCAACCUACCACUCAAAGGGAGAAAACCUCCUGAUCAGAGGAGCCCAGAACCCAGGAAAUCCAUAAUUUUUGAAUGCUGGCCGAGGUCUGUGACCUCUGACUGAAUGGUUUCCAAGCUCUGAAUUCCUAGGUAUAACACUUGCUGAAGAAAGGAAAAGCUCUCUGAUUUAGGUGUAAGCAAAACAAUCUAAACAGUAGGAUAAAAUCGUGUUGGAGUGGAGUUCUGUGUGAGCGCUGUCUUUGAACCAAAUCAGUUCCACAACUGACCCUG